GUGCUUGGUUCAGUAGCACAAAUAGAAAAAUCGAAAUGGUACAGAGAAGAUUAGCAUGGCCCUUGCAUAAGAAUGAUACAUAAAAACAAAUAGAGCCUUCAAUAUUU